GUGCCAGCCGCCGCGGUAAUACGGAGGGUGCGAGCGUUGUCCGGAAUCACUGGGCGUAAAGGGCGCGUAGGCGGCCCGUUAAGUGGCUGGUGAAAUCCCGCGGCUCAACUGCGGGGCUGCCGGUCAGACUGGCGAGCUAGAGCACGGUAGGGGCAGAUGGAAUUCCCGGUGUAGCGGUGGAAUGCGUAGAGAUCGGGAAGAAUACCAGUGGCGAAGGCGUUCUGCUGGGCCGUUGCUGACGCUGAGGCGCGACAGCGUGGGGAGCAAACAGGAUUAGAAACCCCCGUAGUCC
rnacentral:rRNA from 1 species